GGAGCAAUGCUGUUUGACAUUGUGAAUGGAUCUUGCACCUCAAAUGGAUUAAGAGAUGGUGCUCCAUAAACAGGCUGCUGAGUGGCUCUAUAUGCUGCUGAGUCAUACAAACUGUUCAAAGUGAGCGAGUCCAAUCCACCGGCCAAUUGCCUCUCGUUAACUGAAGAGAUGUUACUGCUCGGAGUGGUAACCAGGGCAAGCUCCCAUCCAGUAGGGUCAAAAUCUUUCGCUUGAGCAGCACCAGAAUUGAAUGUUGGCGCAGCAUCCUGUUCAAUUGGAACUAUAGCCAGAGCCAACGCAUUU
rnacentral:misc_RNA from 1 species